ACUCCUACGGGAGGCAGCAGUGGGGAAUAUUGCACAAUGGGCGCAAGCCUGAUGCAGCAACGCCGAGUGAGUGAAGAAGGUUUUCGGAUCGUAAAACUCUGUCCUAAGGGAAGAAAAAAAUGACGGUACCUUAGGAGGAAGCCCCGGCUAACUACGUGCCAGCAGCCGCGGUAAUACGUAGGGGGCAAGCGUUAUCCGGAAUCACUGGGGCGUAAAGGGUGCGUAGGCGGCUUAGCAAGCCAGGGGUGAAAGGCAUUGGCUCAACCAAUGUAAGCCUUUGGAACUGUUAAGCUUGAGUGCAGGAGAGGUAAGUGGAAUUCCUAGUGUAGAGGUGAAAUUCGUAGAUAUUAGGAGGAACACCAGUGGCGAAGGCGACUUACUGGACUGUAACUGACGCUGAUGCACGAAAGCGUGGGUAGCGAACAGGAUUAGAUACCCUGGUAGGUCAGUC
rnacentral:rRNA from 1 species